UGAGCUUCGGUGCAAAAUUGGAUGUUCAGCACAGAGAAAAGCACGCAGCCGUUUACAGUCAAAGUGCAAGAGAUGCUUGGAAACUGGUUAACCAGAGCCACUGAUGACUGUAGAGAUUGCUCAGAGUAUACUGAUUCUCAUUUCCAUUACCAUAACAGAAGGAAACCACAGCCUCAUUGUCUUCCUGGGGGAGAGGAUAGGACAGAAACUAAGGCCUAUAGGAAUUAAAUACUCCAAGUGUCGGUCUGACACCACAGCCCUGGAUCCUAACAACAUCACUCAGGGUAACACCAUCUACGUGUAUGAAAUGUCAUUUUUAUCAAGGAGACCCAGGCCACAGUACAGUCCUGGGAUGGAAAUACUCUCAUGCCGGCCCCCUCCAGACACCUAAGAAGCAGCAUCUCAGAAGCUUCCUUGGUAAUGUUCAGACCCUUGAGCUUCUUCUCAGAGGUAGGAAGUACAUAUUGAAUCUCUUUUCUCUGCAUGAAAUUUGAGUCCAUGUCCAUUAUUUAUACUCGCUCAGAAGUAAUCUUUU